rnacentral:misc_RNA from 1 species
GAUGAAGAACGCAGCGAAAUGCGAUAAGUAAUGUGAAUUGCAGAAUUUAGUGAAUCAUCGAAUCUUUGAACGCACAUUGCGCCCGCCAGUAUUCUGGCGGGCAUGCCUGUUCGAGCGUCAUUACAACCCUCAGGCCCCCGGGCCUGGCGUUGGGGAUCGGCGGAGCCCCCCGUGGGCACACGCCGUCCCCCAAAUGCAGUGGCGGUCCCGCCGCAGCUUCCAUCGCGUAGUAGCUAACACCUCGCGACUGGAGAGCGGCGCGGCCACGCCGUAAAACACCCAACUCUUCUGAAGUUGACCUCGAAUCAGGUAGGAAUACCCGCUGAACUUAAGCAUAUCAAUAAGCGGAGGA